AGUCGGACUGUCCUCUGUCUGGUUGUCGGUGGAGUGGGCGGUGCUUGUCUGUUUUGGUUGACGCAUGUGAAGAAAAUCUCUCCUCAUACAGACAUGUAAUCAGGAAAGGGAGGACCCUCCAGAGUCUCUUCCCCUAAAAGUGUCUUCCUUGGACCACUCUGACAACCACAUCUUUAGAGCAUCUUUUGAGGGUAUCUCAAAUACCUUACUUUUUCCAUCCUAACUCACACUUCAUGUAAAAAAUUGAAACACUAAGAGGUAGUCUAAGAUGUUUUAUUCUCUAUUCUAUUUCAGCUUUUUUUCAUUUUUAAUGUUGUACCACUAAAUUGAUUUCAUGAUUUACUAAUGGAUUGCAGCCUCAGCUAGAACACACUAUUCAGAGGGCUCCAUUGACUUGUUUAUUUUGCCAAGAAAAAAUUGUUUUGCUGGGAAAUAUGGCUACAAUUAUACACUGUAAAAUGUAUUUAAAAAAUAGUAAAUGUAUUUUUUAAAUGUAAAAAAAUAGAGUUUUCAUAAUAGGUUAGUGCUAGGUAAACCUUCUUGCUUUACAGGAGAUGAAAGAAAUGAAGUGACUUGCACACAUUAAAGAAUUAGUUCUCUUUUGGAAAGCUUUAAUUUUAGUUUUAAAAAAUGUACAUCCUGUGUUAAAAUAUUACCUAAUUAGGCCAAUAUUGAGGGUUUUGAUCUUGGACAAAAAACAUGAAUUUUGAGUUUGGAGAUUAUGAGAUAUAUUUUUGUUGCAAGUAAGAAUGCCAGACGGUUCAAAUGGGCAAGAAGUAGACUGGGUAUGUUAUCAGUCCUAGAGCUAUUGGGAUAAAGUGGAUGAUGUAAGAGUAGUAGAUGAGAUUACUUUAAAACUUUCUGGAAUGCUGGAAAAAAAUCUUUGUGAUUCAGCUUCAUUUUCAUUUAGAGUACGAUGCUCGAAAAGUACAUUGAUUAAAUCUUAAUACAUUAAAUUCCAGUGAGUUAUGCUGAAUCACCAUGCCUAUAUACAUGAUUAGCAGAAUGCAUGUGUUUAUCCCGUAUGAAUAGUGCAAAACAAAUAAUUUCUGGUUCCUUGAUUUUCAUUUUUGCUAUACUUUAUGCUGAUCGUCGCUCUUCUAUUCAUUGUCUUCAGAUAAAAUACAAGCAAUUAGAUUUCGGCUAAAUCAAUUACAAUAAUUUUCUAGUACUGAUUGCCUAAGGUUACACCCAAAGCACUUUCGUUGAAUGUUAAAAUAAUCUUUUUAUUUAUCCUAUUGGAUAGGAAGUUCAUCCUAUUGGGUUUGUGUUUGACUAAUUUAACUCUGAGUGAUAAGAUAAUCUCUCGAUUUGCUUCCAGGGUGAAGAAUUUCAUCUACUAGGUGUGUGAUUGAAUAAAACAAGUCCAGAGUAACUUUA